AUUGAACGCUGGCGGCAGGCCUAACACAUGCAAGUCGAACGGAGCGGCGGACGGGUGAGUAAUGCCUAGGAAUCUGCCUGGUCGUGGGGGAUGACGUCCGGAACCGGGCGCUAAUACCGCAUACUAUCAGAUGAGCCUAGGUCGGAUUAGCUAGUUGGUGGGGUAAAGGCCCACCAAGGCGACGAUCCGUAACUGGUCUGAGAGGAUGAUCAGUCACACUGGAACUGAGACACGGUCCAGACUCCUACGGGAGGCAGCAGUGGGGAAUAUUGGACAAUGGGCGAAAGCCUGAUCCAGCCAUGCCGCGUGUGUGAAGAAGGUCUUCGGAUUGUAAAGCACUUUCAGCGGGGAGGCGUUACCAGCAGAAGAAGCACCGGCUAACUCCGUGCCAGCAGCCGCGGUAAUAC
rnacentral:rRNA from 1 species